rnacentral:pre_miRNA from 1 species
AUACUACUCCCUCCGUCUAGAAAUACUUGUCAUCAAAAUGAAUAAAAGGGGAUGUAUCUAGAUGUAUUUUAGUUCUAAAUACAUCCCCUUUAUCCAUUUUGAUGACAAGUAUUUUCGGACAGAGGGAGUACUAU